UCCCUGGUGGCUCAGCUGGUAAAGAAUCUGCCUGCAAUGCAGGAGACCUGGGUUCAAACCCCGGGUGGGAAA
rnacentral:tRNA from 1 species